UACAUAUAUAACACACAGGAAAACAACUGAAUAUAGUGACUUGAGUGGUUAUGAUACCUCACGUAAGGGAUCUUUUUCAGAAACUAUUCUUCGGUGUGUGAUGUGUUGCUUUCUAGAAAGAAUGGGGCUGACAGCACUUCUGUAAUGAAUAAUGACCUGGGAAGAGAGAGACGGAGAAGCCAGGAAGGAGUAAUUAACAAGGAAGU
rnacentral:lncRNA from 1 species